rnacentral:rRNA from 1 species
UGCAAGUCGUACGAGAACACCCUAGCUUGCUAGGGUAAGUAAAGUGGCGCACGGGUGAGUAACGCGUGGGUAAUCUACCUUCGAAUUGGGGAUAACGUUGCGAAAGCGACGCUAAUACCGAAUAACAUCCAUUAAUCUUCGGGUUUUUGGAUCAAGGGUGGCCUCUACAUGUAAGCUACUGUUUGAAGAUGAGCCCGCGUACCAUUAGCUUGUUGGUGGGGUAAUGGCCUACCAAGGCAGCGAUGGUUAGCUGGUCUGAGAGGAUGAUCAGCCACACUGGAACUGACACACGGUCCAGACUCCUACGGGAGGCAGCAGUGAGGAAUUUUGCGCAAUGGGGGAAACCCUGACGCAGCAACGCCGCGUGAGUGAUGAAGGCUUUCGGGUCGUAAAGCUCUGUCAAGUGGGAAGAACCUGCAGUAUGCUAAUAUCAUAUUGCACUGACGGUACCACUGAAGGAAGCACCGGCUAACUCCGUGCCAGCAGCCGCGGUAAUACG